rnacentral:rRNA from 1 species
AUUGAACGCUGGCGGCAGGCCUAACACAUGCAAGUCGAGCGAGCGGCGGCCGGGUGCGUAAUGUCUGGGAAACUGCCUGAUGGAGGGGGAUAACUACUGGAAACGGUAGCUAAUACCGCAUACCAUCAGAUGUGCCCAGAUGGGAUUGGCUAGUAGGUGGGGUAACGGCUCACCUGGGCGACGCUCCCUAGCUGGUCUGAGAGGAUGACAAGCCACACUGGAACUAGGACGCGUUCCAGACUCCUCCGAGGGGCAGCAGUGGGAGAUAUUGCACAGUGGGCGCAAGCCUGAUGCAGCCAGGCCGCGUGUGUGAAGAAGGCCUUCGGGUUGUAAAGCACUUUCGGCGGGGUGGCGUUACCCGCAGAAGAAGCACCGGCUAACUCCGUGCCAGCAGCCGCGGUAAUAC